rnacentral:rRNA from 1 species
CGGCACGGGUGAGUAACACGUAUGCAACCUGCCUGCCACAGCCGGAUAAUCGGGAGAAAUUCCGUCUAAUACGGCAUAAUGCAUCGACGGGACAUCCUGUUGGUGCCAAAGGUUGAUUCCGGUGGCGGAUGGGCAUGCGUCGCAUUAGUUAGUUGGCGGUGUAACGGACCACCAAGACGACGAUGCGUAGGGGUUCUGAGAGGAAGGUCCCCCACACUGGUACUGAGACACGGACCAGACUCCUACGGGAGGCAGCAG